rnacentral:rRNA from 1 species
UACGGAGGGGGCUAGCGUUGUUCGGAAUUACUGGGCGUAAAGAGCUCGUAGGCGGUCUGUCGCGUCUGCUGUGAAAACCUAGGGCUUAACUCUGGGCGUGCAGUGGGUACGGGCAGGCUAGAGUGCGGUAGGGGAGACUGGAAUUCCUGGUGUAGCGGUGAAAUGCGCAGAUAUCAGGAGGAACACCGGUGGCGAAGGCGGGUCUCUGGGCCGUAACUGACGCUGAGGAGCGAAAGCAUGGGGAGCGAACAGGAUUAGAACCUCCGAGU